rnacentral:rRNA from 1 species
AAUUCGAUUGAGUUUGAUCCUGGCUCAGAACGAACGUUAGCGGCGCGCCUAACACAUGCAAGUCGAGCGAGAAAGGGCUUCGGCCCCGGUAAAGCGGCGCACGAGUGAGUAACACGUGGGUAACCUGCCCUCGGGUCGGGGAUAACAUUCCGAAAGGAGUGCUAAUACCGGAUAAGACCACGACCUCGAAAGAGGAAGCGGUCAAAGCUGGCCUCUAUAUAUAAGCUAGCGCCUGAGGAUGGGCCCGCGGCGCAUCAUGGUAGUUGGUGAGGUAAUGGCUCACCAAGCCGAAGACGCGUAGCUGGUCUGAGAGGAUGAUCAGCCACACUGGAACUGAGACACGGUCCAGACUCCUACGGGAGGCAGCAGUGGGGAAUCUUGCGCAAUGGGCGAAAGCCUGACGCAGCGACGCCGCGUGAGUGAUGAAGGCCUUCGGGUUGUAAAGCUCUGUGGGGGGAGACGAAUAAGUGCAAGCUAAUACCUUGCAUGAUGACGGUAUCCCCUUAGCAAGCACCGGCUAACUCUGUGCCAGCAGCCGCGGUAAGACAGAGGGUGCAAACGUUGUUCGGAAUUACUGGGCGUAAAGCGAGUGUAGG